CCGCGCUAAACGGGGGACUGGCGGUACCCUGCACCAGCAAUCCGCCUUAGCUGGGUCGAAUUCCCGCUCCGAGGUUCGGCCCUUCGGGUCAGCCCGAGGUCGACGGCGUUGAAGGCCGGGACCUGCGCAGGUCGGGCCUCCGAACCCCGCCAGGACCGGAAGGUAGCAGCGGUAAGGGGGAAACCGGCGGUGCCGCAGCCCUCCGGGCCGGAGCCGGAGGCCGAGACAGCGCCGGGGGCGCCGCGAUCGACGAGUGGGUGCGCGG
rnacentral:SRP_RNA from 1 species